UACGGAGGGAGCUAGCGUUGUUCGGAAUUACUGGGCGUAAGGCGCGCGUAGGCGGCUUUGUAAGUUAGAGGUGAAAGCCCGGGGCUCAACCCCGGAAUUGCCUUUAAGACUGCAUCGCUUGAAUCCGGGAGAGGUGAGUGGAAUUCCGAGUGUAGAGGUGAAAUUCGUAGAUAUUCGGAAGAACACCAGUGGCGAAGGCGGCUAUCUGGACGGUUUCUGACGCUAAGACGCGAAAGCGUGGGGAGCAAACAGG
rnacentral:rRNA from 1 species